CGUGAGAUGUUGGGUUAAGUCCGUAACGAGCGCAACCCUUGUCCUUAGUUACCAGCACGUUAUGGUGGGCGACUCUAAGGAGACUGCCGGUGACAAACCGGAGGAAGGUGGGGAUGACGUCAAGUCAUCAUGGCCCUUACGGCCUGGGCUACACACGUGCUACAAUGGUCGGUACAAAGGGUUGCCAAGCCGCGAGGUGGAGCUAAUCCCAUAAAACCGAUCGUAGUCCGGAUCGCAGUCUGCAACUCGACUGCGUGAAGUCGGAAUCGCUAGUAAUCGUGAAUCAGAAUGUCACGGUGAAUACGUUCCCGGGCCUU
rnacentral:rRNA from 1 species